rnacentral:tRNA from 1 species
AGUAGAGUGGCUGAGAUUGAUAGGUGGUAGAUUGUAAGUCUAUUAAGGGGUUUACCCCUCUACUA